AGCUCAGAGGUGACAGCACUGGUCUAAUAAACCAGGGGUGCGAGUUCAAAUCUCAC
rnacentral:tRNA from 1 species